AAAAUGGGGUAAAACCAAUAACUUCCCGAUUUUUGAAAAUUUCCAAUUUUCUUAGCGGGAAGUUAAAAAGUGUGCUAUGGUAAAAUCGUUUUUUAUUCAGGAAAUGACGAUGAGAUAGAUGCUAAAUGGGCAGAACUUACCAAGCCUAAAAACAGAAACAAACUUAAAUUUGAUAAAAAAGCAGAACUGCCAGAUGAAAAAUGUCGUCAAGGUCGAAAAAGAAAUUUAUCAAAAGUUUUAGCUAAGGAAGAUGAUAAACGCUCUCAUAAGUUGGAAACCACAGUAAAAAAAGCAAAGGAGCCACGUAGAAAAACCGAGCCCAAAAAUCUGAAAGCUAACCAAAACUCUUCACAAGAAGAAAGUCUUACCCAAGACGACUAUAAGAGAAUGUAUUUAGAUCUGCAAAAGAAAAUGAAUGAUGAAAGAAAAUCGUCUAAUGUGAAAAAUAAAAGUCCUGGGUUAGCAAUAAUUUAAAAAAAAAGAAAUAAUUCUUCAUCUUCGGAGACCGAGUCUUUUAAUUCAUCUACUGAAGAUCCAUCGAUGCACUAUUCUAAAUCUGAUGAUACCGGUGGUGAGAGUGUUUUAGACGAGAUUGACAAAACUGGAACUAAAGCUAAAAAUAAUUCUUUAGCUAAUGAAUUUGGAGAAAAAGAAAUGUCAGCUGAUGAAAAAGAAAUCGCUGAUUCAGCUAUUGAAGAUAAUUUGAGCAAUGAGGAUAAAAAUAAUAAAAAUAAAACUGAUCUUGAAGCAAAGCAACCAGAAUAUUAUGAUGAGAAUAUUCAACUUUUGGGCCCUAAUCAUGGAGAAAAAAUGAUUGGAUUUGUGCCAAAUAUCUUUUGCAUAAAAAAAAUUAGAUAUUGGUCAAGAAAGUGGGGAAGUGACGGUCCUCGCACGUUAUUUCAUGGAAGGGGUUUUGAAGCAAGAAGAGCUAUUACGUUAUACAUUCAGUGGUCAAGCUGCUCGCGCACAAGGCUCUGAGAAAAACAAGAAAAAAGUAGAACCGUUUCACCAUGCAGCUAAAACGGCAAUAAUAAACUAUGCAUUAAACUAUUCAAAGGAGCAUGGCUGGAAAAAAAAAAGAAAAAUGGCGAGUCAGCACCUUAUAAUGAAAGUGAAA
rnacentral:misc_RNA from 1 species